UGCACGCAAGUGUGAUAAGGGAAUCCCCAGUGCUCAUGCACUGCAUGGGCUUUUGCCAAGUGUAAAUAGCUUGGCGAAUAAGUGGUGGGUAAGACUGGUGCCAGCCGCCGCGGUAACACCAGCGCCACGAGUGGCAACCGCGAUUAUUGGGCCUAAAGCGUCCGUAGCCGGGUUGAUAAAUCCUUUGUGAAAUUGUGCGGCUUAACCGUACAACGUGCAAGGGACACUGUCGACCUCGAGACCGGGAGGAGUCAGAAGUAUUCCAGAGGGAGCGGUAAAAUGUUAUAAUCUCUGGAGGACUACCUGUGGCGAAGGCGUCUGACCAGAACGGAUCUGACGGUGAGGGACGAAAGCCAGGGGAGCGAACCGGAUUAGAUACAAGAAAACAUGUCAGUUUUCUGGAAUUAGUUUCGAAAGAAUCGCAAAUUCUACUGAUUCGAAUUUAACGAAAGAAAAGUAUUAUGAUGCUUUCUUGCUAAUUACCCGAGUAGUCCUAGCUGUAAACUCUGCGAGCCAGGUGUUGCACAUUUUAAGAGAAUGUGCAGUGUCGUAACGAAGGUGUUAAGCUCGCCGCCUG
rnacentral:rRNA from 1 species